UGGUGUUUUUAGUAACAUGUCUGUCACCGGCUUUGUUUUUGCUAUGUGUCCUUCACCUCAACCAUCGUCCAAUAGAUAUGCACCACUAUUUAGUCUCCUCCUAAAAUAAUUCGACCCCUAGAUCUUAUCGGAAAAAUGCAUCUUCUCACCGUUCGUUUCUAGUAUGUCUCCUCUGAAACUUGAUAGUGGUGCUGCCAUCUCAACUACUCAUCUCCUCCACCACCGCCUUCCAUUCCAUCUUUCUUUGCUCAUAAUUUCAUCUACACCUCUGAUUAACACCAUUCUACCUAACCUUUUCUCCUUUGAGUUGUGGCUUGGGUGGUUUGGCUUGGCUUGAAUAGCACCACAAUUGGGAGCCAAUGACCGAUCCCAUCUUCCAAUGUAAUCCACUGCUUCUUUUCAUAUCAUCGCAAACCUCUUUCUGUCUUCAUCUUUCUCUAAGAAAAAAAUCGCCACCACCAUCGCCGCUUUCUCCUAAUCGGAUGUCAUCUGGAGCCGCCCUUUCUGCACCACCUCUUCAUCCAAUCGGAUGCCAGCUCUUCUACUACUUUAUGGUAUUUUUGUGUAUUUUUUUAUUGAGAAGAGGCGGCAUCAACAUGAUGAUUUCACGAUUUGGUGCUUUUCUUCUAUGAAGAUGAAAUUGGUUGUCGAUGGAUGGGGGUAAUUGGCUGACUGUGCUCAAUUGCGUUCCUCAUGCCGACGUAUACUGUUUGAUUACCAUUAGAGGUUGAAAGCGACUAAAGUUGAAAACGAUAUGUUCAUAAAUCAAGGGUUUUGUGUCAUGGGUUUUCAAAUGAAAUAUGAGUAAACAAAAAAUACAUAAGCAUCAAUCGCAUUUAAUUAAUACACUCAAUCCAAAGGACAUCCUUUUGAUCAUCUCUUCUCUGCAAUGCUAUUGGUACCAUAAUUUCAUUAUUGUCUCCUUCAGGUUCGUGCUCAAACUUUUCUUCAGUUUAAGGUUUGUGUGGUCACUUUCUUGGUUUCACAUGUCUUUAGAAUCAAGCCCUUUUUUGCUUAGAACCUCUUCAAUUUCUGCUACUAAUGUUGAAAUUGUGUUCCUUAAUCAGAAGAAGAGGAGUAGUGUGAAGGGUAUGACAUCUGGAGGAUUUUCCCAUGAAACUAACAUGUUCAGUGUUGGAGCUGAAGUUCUGCCCUCUAGGUAUUCUAUGAAAUGAUUAUGUUGGUUUUUCCAUUUCCUUAUCAUCCUUACAUCUGUAAUUUAUGAUUUGUUCUGAAAGAGUUAUCUGAAUCCAUGGUACAAAAUAAUUAUUCUUAUCUUUAUAUUUUUUUUCAUGUGCAUAGAACCCAUUCAAAUUGUUAUUAGUGUAGUGCAAUCCCAUAGAUAAUAUAUACUUCUACAAGUUUGUAAUCUUUGAUUAGGUAAAAUGAAAAGAGUUUAUAAUUUUAUAAAAUUUAUCCUUUUGGUCUUUUAUGUUCCAGCUAGAAGGUAAAAAGAUUAGUGUUCUUCCAUCAGAUACACAUUAUACAUUAUUUUUAGGAAACCUUAACAAAGGUUUGUUUUAACUUUUAAUAACCUCUUCAUUAUAAUGUCAAUCUUUCAAUUCCCUUUUAUCUUAGGUAUAUUCUUCAUUUAGGGUCGAGUGCUAAUGAUUUUAAUAAAGUCGUAUGCCAGGAAAACUUAUAUAUAUAUAUAUAUAUAUAUAUAUAUAUAUAUAUACACUACCUCCGGAUACAUCGGUUUAUCAUAUUUUGGAGCCGCUCCCGAAACUGUUGGGACCGGAAUCAGUUCCACAUACUUAAUUUCUAUUUUUUAAAUAUUUUUAUUGAAAGAAAACAAAAAUAAAUUGUAAUAAUCUAAAUAGAAAAUUACACGGUUGGUCCCGAUGGUUUGGUGUUACUUGCAUGCUUCGUCCCUGGAAAGAAUUUUUAACUCGGACCAUCCAUAUUACUUUAAUUUGUUACCCGCCUAGUCCCUUACUUAACUUUCCGUCUGAUUUGGGGUUAGGAACCCCUCACGUGAGUGGUACGCUGGGGGUAUUUUUGUCCUUUCAUAAUUCAACGGACUUAAAACUACUACUCCUUCCUUCUUUACUCAAUCGGUGCUUCCACUUCUCUUCUUCUACUCCAUUUCUCUUGAUUCGUGAAGAUUGAAGAUCCACAAAAUUGAUUAUGGUGAAAUGCAUAUGUGGAGCUGUAGUGUUAUACGAACUUCAAGGACAAAGAGAAACCCGGUAGGCCAUUUUAUGCAUGCCCUUUACAGGGACCAAGUAGUGGAGUUAUUUCGUGGGUAGAUGAAGAAAAUCAUAAGCAUCAGGUUGAAUGCCAAAAUCUUGAGCUUGAAAUCCACAAUGAAGAACUUCAAAUCCAAAAUAGUGACCUUGAAAUCCAUAAUGAAGAGCUUGAAAUCCAAAAUCGGAACCAGAAAAUGUUGUUAAUUGUCAGUUGGAUUUUGUUUUUUGGGAUAAUUGUUUACAAGUUGUAGUAUUAGGUAUAUCAGUAGGUUUUUGGUUGAAGAUCAUCUAAUGCAAGGGUAAUAUUAGCAUGUUUGUAUUGCUGCAUUUUAAUGAAAGGGUAUAUUUUGGUACAA